AGUGAACGCUGGCGGUAGGCCUAACACAUGCAAGUCGAACGGCAGCACAGUAAGAGCUUGCUCUUACGGGUGGCGAGUGGCGGACGUGUGAGGAAUACAUCGGAAUCUACUUUUUCGUGGGGGAUAACGUAGGGAAACUUACGCUAAUACCGCAUACGACCUACGGGUGAAAGCAGGGGAUCUUCGGACCUUGCGCGAUUGAAUGAGCCGAUGUCGGAUUAGCUAGUUGGCGGGGUAAAGGCCCACCAAGGCGACGAUCCGUAGCUGGUCUGAGAGGAUGAUCAGCCACACUGGAACUGAGACACGGUCCAGACUCCUACGGGAGGCAGCAGUGGGGAAUAUUGGACAAUGGGCGCAAGCCUGAUCCAGCCAUACCGCGUGGGUGAAGAAGGCCUUCGGGUUGUAAAGCCCUUUUGUUGGGAAAGAAAAGCAGCAGGUUAAUACCCCGCUGUUCUGACGGUACCCAAAGAAGAAGCACCGGCUAACUUCGUG
rnacentral:rRNA from 1 species